CAGCUGCACGAAGCCCUGGGUUGUAGAAGGCCGGGUUAGCGCGAUGGAGAAAUUAUUUGAUGAUUUGUUUAUACCAGAGAGGGAGCAGGUAUAUUUGAGAGUACACUGCUUGGCUGGCGAUGCGCAUGCUUAGUGGAGGAGGAUGAGGCGAGGAUGAGGGUUGGUGGCGUUGCAAAUGAAGUGGGAUGAGUUCUGCGGAAAGCUGUAUGGGAUGUAUUUUCCAAACAGCGUGAGCAGAAGUUCGAGGAGGACAUGAAAAAGCUUCAGCAGGGGGAGCGAGUAG
rnacentral:lncRNA from 1 species